rnacentral:rRNA from 1 species
AUUGAACGCUGGCGGCAGGCCUAACACAUGCAAGUCGAGCGGAUGAAGGGAGCUUGCUCCUGGAUUCAGCGGCGGACGGGUGAGUAAUGCCUAGGAAUCUGCCUGGUCGUGGGGGAUAACGUCCGGAAACGGGCGCUAAUACCGCAUACGUCCUGAGGGAGAAAGUGGGGGAUCUUCGGACCUCACGCUAUCAGAUGAGCCUAGGUCGGAUUAGCUAGUUGGUGGGGUAAAGGCCUACCAAGGCGACGAUGCGUAACUGGUCUGAAGGGAUGAUCAGUCACACUGGAACUGAGACACGUUCCAGACUCCUACGGGAGGCAGCAGUGGGGAAUAUUGGACAAUGGGCGAAAGCCUGAUCCAGCCAUGCCGCGUGUGUGAAGAAGGUCUUCGGAUUGUAAAGCACUUUAAGUUGGGAGGAAGGGCAGUAAGUUAAUACCUGGCUGUUUUGACGUUACCAACAGAAUAAGCACCGGCUAACUUCGUG